GCAAGUCGAACGAGUUCUCGUUGAAUGAUCGGUGCUUGCACCGAGAUUCAACAUGGAAACGAGUGGCGGACGGGGUGAGUAACACGUGGGUAACCUGCCCUUAAGUGGGGGAUAACAUUUGGAAACAGAUGCUAAUACCGCAUAGAUCCAAGAACCGCAUGGUUCUUGGCUGAAAGAUGGCGUAAGCUAUCGCUUUUGGAUGGACCCGCGGCGUAUUAGCUAGUUGGUGAGGUAAUGGCUCACCAAGGCGAUGAUACGUAGCCGAACUGAGAGGUUGAUCGGCCACAUUGGGACUGAGACACGGCCCAAACUCCUACGGGAGGCAGCAGUAGGGAAUCUUCCACAAUGGACGCAAGUCUGAUGGAGCAACGCCGCGUGAGUGAAGAAGGCUUUCGGGUCGUAAAACUCUGUUGUUGGAGAAGAAUGGUCGGCAGAGUAACUGUUGUCGGCGUGACGGUAUCCAACCAGAAAGCCACGGCUAACUACGUGCCAGCAGCCGCGGUAAUACGUAGGUGGCAAGCGUUAUCCGGAUUUAUUGGGCGUAAAGCGAGCGCAGGCGGUUUUUUAAGUCUGAUGUGAAAGCCCUCGGCUUAACCGAGGAAGCGCAUCGGAAACUGGGAAACUUGAGUGCAGAAGAGGACAGUGGAACUCCAUGUGUAGCGGUGAAAUGCGUAGAUAUAUGGAAGAACACCAGUGGCGAAGGCGGCUGUCUGGUCUGUAACUGACGCUGAGGCUCGAAAGCA
rnacentral:rRNA from 2 species